rnacentral:rRNA from 1 species
CCUACGGGAGGCAGCAGUGAGGAAUAUUGGUCAAUGGACGCGAGUCUGAUCCAGCCAAGUAGCGUGAAGGAUGACUGCCCUCUGGUUUGUAAACUUCUUUUAUAUGGGAAUAAAAUGUUCCACGUGUAGGUUUUUGUAUUUACCAUAUGAAUAAGGAUCGGCUAACUCCGUGCCAGCAGCCGCGGUAAUACGGAGGAUCCGAGCGUUAUCCGGAUUUAUUGGUUGUAAAGGGAGCGUAGGUGGAUUGUUAAGUCAGUUGUGAAAGUUUGCGGCUCAACCGUAAAAUUGCAGUUGAUACUGGCAGUCUUGAGUACAGUAGAGGUGGGCGGAAUUCGUGGUGUAGCGGUGAAAUGCUUAGAUAUCACGAAGAACUCCGAUUGCGAAGGCAGUUCACUGGACUGCAACUGACACUGAGGCUCGAAAGUGUGGGUAUCAAACAGGAUUAGAUACCCUUGUAGUC